GGCUUGAUGGUCUAGAGGUAUGAUUCCUGCUUUGGGAUCUUGAUUGCAGGAGGUCCCGGGUUCAAUCCCCGGUCAAGCCC